AUUGUACGCUGGCGGCAUGCCUAACACACGCAAGUCGAACGGGGCAGCAAUGCCUAGUGGCGGACGGGUGAGGAAUACGUAGGAAUCUGCCCUUAAGUGGGGGAUAACCAGGGGAAACCCUGACUAAUACCGCAUGAUCUCUUCGGAGUAAAGAGGGGGACCGCAAGGCCUCUCGCUUCUGGAUGAGCCUACGUCUGAUUAGCUAGUUGGUAGGGUAAAGGCCUACCAAGGCGACGAUCAGUAACUGGUCUGAGAGGAUGAUCAGUCACACCGGAACUGAGACACGGUCCGGACUCCUACGGGAGGCAGCAGUGGGGAAUAUUGGACAAUGGGCGCAAGCCUGAUCCAGCAAUGCCGCGUGUGUGAAGAAGGCCUUCGGGUUGUAAAGCACUUUAGCCUGGAAAGAAAAAACUUUGGUUAACACCCAAAGUCUUGACGGUACCAGGAGAAUAAGCACCGGCUAACUCUGUGCCAGCCGCCGCCGUAAGAC
rnacentral:rRNA from 1 species